UACGAAGGUGGCAAGCGUUACUCGGAAUUACUAGGCGUAAAGGGCAGGUAGGUGGUUCGGUAAGUCUGUUGUGUAAGCUCCCGGCUUAACUGGGAGAGGUCAACGGAAACUGCCGGGCUUGAGUAUAGGAGAGGGUACUGGAAUUCCCGGUGUAGCGGUGAAAUGCGCAGAGAUCGGGAGGAACACCAAUGGCGAAAGCAGGUACCUGGACUAUUACUGACACUCAGCUGCGAAAGCUAGGGGAG
rnacentral:rRNA from 1 species